rnacentral:rRNA from 1 species
GACGAACGCUGGCGGCGUGCUUAACACAUGCAAGUCGAACGGAAAGGCCCUGCUCUUGUUGCUUGCUCGAGUGGCGAACGGGUGUGUAACACGCGAGUAACCCCCCCUUGACUUUGGGAUAACUUCAGGAAACUGGGGCUAUUACCGGAUAGGAUCUCUUGCUGCAUGGUGGGGGUUGGUAAGUUUCGGCGGUUGGGGAUGGUCUCGCGGCUUAUCAGCUUGUUGGUGGGGUAGUGGCUUACCAAGGCUUUGAAGGGUAGCCCGCAUGAGAGGGUGACCGGCGACAUGGGGACUGAGAUACGGCCCAGACUGCAACGGGAGGCAGAAGUGGAGAAUAUUACGGAAUGGGGGGGAGCCUGAGACGACGACGCCGCGUGCGGGAUGACGGCCUUCGGGUUGUAAACCACUUUCGACGGUAACAAAGCGUGAGUGACGGUAAUGAGUAAAGAAGCACCGGCUAACUACGUG